rnacentral:rRNA from 1 species
CGCUAGCUACAGGCUUAACACAUGCAAGUCGAGGGGAAACGGCGUUGAGUGCUUGCACUCUUCGGACGUCGACCGGCGCACGGGUGAGUAACGCGUAUCCAACCUUCCCAUAACUAAGGGAUAACCUACCGAAAGGCAGACUAAUACCUUAUGUAAUUCUUAGAUGACAUCAGAAGAGAAUGAAAGAUUUAUCGGUUAUGGAUGGGGAUGCGUCUGAUUAGCUUGUUGGCGGGGUAACAGCCCACCAAGGCAACGAUCAGUAGGGGUUCUGAGAGGAAGGUCCCCCACAUUGGAACUGAGACACGGUCCAAACUCCUACGGGAGGCAGCAGUGAGGAAUAUUGGUCAAUGGGCGAGAGCCUGGACCAGCCAAGUAGCGUGCAGGAUGACGGCCCUAUGGGUUGUAAACUGCUUUUGUAUGGGGAUAAAGUCAAUCACGUGUGAUUGUUUGCAGGUACCAUACGAAUAAGGACCGGCUAAUUCCGUGCCAGCAGCCGCGGUAAUACGGAAGGUUCGGGCGUUAUCCGGAUUUAUUGGGUUUAAAGGGAGCGUAGGCCGGAGAUUAAGUGUGUUGUGAAAUGUAGACGCUCAACGUCUGACUUGCAGCGCAUACUGGUUUCCUUGAGUACGCACAACGUUGGCGGAAUUCGUCGUGUAGCGGUGAAAUGCUUAGAUAUGACGAAGAACUCCGAUUGCGAAGGCAGCUGACGGGAGCGCCACUGACGCUUAAGCUCGAAGGUGCGGGUAUCGAACAGGAUUAGAUACCCUGGUAGUCCGCACAGUAAACGAUGGAUGCCCGCUGUUGGUACCUAGUAUCAGCGGCUAAGCGAAAGCAUUAAGCAUCCCACCUGGGAGUACGCCGGCAACGGU